UACGUAGGUGACAAGCGUUGUCCGGAUUUACUGGGCGUAAAGGGCGCGUAGGCGGCCAACUAAGUCAGACGUGAAAUCCCUCGGCUCAACCGGGGAACUGCGUCUGAUACUGGAUGGCUUGAAUUCGGGAGAGGGAUGCGGAAUUCCAGGUGUAGCGGUGAAAUGCGUAGAUAUCUGGAGGAACACCGGUGGCGAAGGCGGCAUCCUGGACCGAGAUUGACGCUGAUGCGCGAAAGCCAGGGGGAGCAAACGGG
rnacentral:rRNA from 1 species